GGUCGGGUAGUGUAGUGGUAUCGCUUCCAACUCUCGUGAAUCGUAACGCAGGUUCAAUCCAUGCGUGCGAUCA